rnacentral:rRNA from 1 species
UACGGAGGGUGCAAGCGUUAUCCGGAUUCACUGGGUUUAAAGGGUGCGUAGGUGGGCAGGUAAGUCAGUGGUGAAAUCUCCGGGCUUAACUCGGAAACUGCCAUUGAUACUAUCUUUCUUGAAUACCGUGGAGGUCAGCGGAAUAUGUCAUGUAGCGGUGAAAUGCUUAGAUAUGACCCGGAACACCGAUUGCGAAGGCAGCCCACUAAGCAAUGAUUGACGCUGAGGCACGAAAGCGUGGGGAUCAAACAGG